GUACUUUACUUGAUCUCGUCACUAUAUGGCUGGAAGAAUGCCGAUAUGACGUAAAUCUCAACUCAACUCAACAACAACUUAGCUUACAACUGCUUAAAUAUCUUAUGCAGCCUGAAAUGAGAGAUUUGAUUAUUUAUAAAUCAGUGAAGAUGACUAAUCCAUACAUCUGAAAUUAAUCCAAUAAAUAGGUAACAGUUUCUGUUUUUCCUUGAAAUAAACAAAUAACAUUAUUUAAACAUAUUAAAGUAAAACAGGUCAAUGAUAAAACAUGAUCACUAUUUACAGAACUUGAACUAUGCCACUCCUUCACACCCAUAAUGAAAACUAAUAUCAAAUGCUGACAUUAAUACUAAUGCUAAUACCAACACUAAUACUUACUUAAAUCUCCUUACUUACAACUAUACAUCCUGAACAUUGCAAGUAUUGAGGUGUGUGAGUAGUAAGGUGAGUAUUAAGGUAGGCAAACAAUUACAUUGCAGGCAAAGGUCUUCCCGUGUAAAACAUUGUGGUGGACAGAGUUCCUGUGGGCAUAGUUCCUGUGGGCAUAGUUCCUGUGUGAAAAGUUCCUGUGGGCAUAGUUCCUGUGUGAAAAGCUCCAGUGGGCAUAGAUCAUGUGGGCAUAGUUCCUGCGGGCAAAGAUCCUGUGGGCAUACUUCCUGUGUGAAAAGUUCCUGUGGGCAUAGAUCCUGUGGGCAUAGUUCCUGUGUCAAAAGUUCCUGUUGGCAUAGUUCCUGUGUCAAAAGUUCAUGUGGGCAUAGUUCCUGUGUCAAAAGUUCAUGUGUGAAAAGCUACAGUGGGCAUAGUUCCUGGGGGCAUAGUUCCUGGGGGUAUAGUUCCUGGGGGCAUAGUUCCUGGGGGCAUAGAUCCUGUGGGCAUAGUUCCUGUGUGAAAAGCUCCAGUGGGCAUAGAUCAUGUGGGCAUAGUUCCUGCGGGCAUAGAUCCUGUGGGCAUAGUUCCUGUGUGAAAAGUUCCUGUGGGCAUAGAUCCUGUGGGCAUAGUUCCUGUGUCAAAAGUUCCUGUGGGCAUAGUUCCUGUGUCAAAAGUUCAUGUGGGCAUAGUUCCUGUGUCAAAAGUUCAUGUGUGAAAAGCUACAGUGGGCAUAGUUCCUGGGGCAUAGUUCCUGGGGGCAUAAUUCCUGGGGGUAUAGUUCCUGGGGCAUAGUUCCUGGGGGCAUAGAUCCUGCGGCAUAGGUCCUGUGGGAAAAGUUCCUGGG